rnacentral:lncRNA from 1 species
UUUCUUUUCUUUCUUUAUUUUCACAUUUUUCUUCUUUUUUUCUUUUCUUUCAACCACUGCUUUUCCUUUCUCAUCAUCCUUCUUACUCUCAUUCAACUUUUUUGUUUCCUCUAUCUUUUCUACAGCAACAACUUUCUCUGUUUUUAUUUCCUCUUCAUACAUCUCUAGCUCUUCUUCUUCUAUCUUUUCCUCCUUGACAACCUUAUCAUUUGUAAAGACUUGACAUUCUUCUUU